GACGAACGCUGGCGGCGUGCCUAAUACAUGCCAGUUGAGCGAUGAAGAUUGGUGCUUGCACCAAUUUGAAGAGCAGCGAACGGGUGAGUAACGCGUGGGGAAUCUGCCUUUGAGCGGGGGACAACAUUUGGAAACGAAUGCUAAUACCGCAUAACAACUUUAAACAUAAGUUUUAAGUUUGAAAGAUGCAAUUGCAUCACUCAAAGAUGAUCCCGCGUUGUAUUAGCUAGUUGGUGAGGUAAAGGCUCACCAAGGCGAUGAUACAUAGCCGACCUGAGAGGGUUGUCGGCCACAUUGGGACUGAGACACGGCCCAAACUCCUACGGGAGGCAGCAGUAGGGAAUCUUCGGCAAUGGACGAAAGUCUGACCGAGCAACGCCGCGUGAGUGAAGAAGGUUUUCGGAUCGUAAAACUCUGUUGGUAGAGAAGAACGUUGGUGAGAGUGGAAAGCUCAUCAAGUGACGGUAACUACCCAGAAAGGGACGGCUAACUACGUG
rnacentral:rRNA from 1 species